rnacentral:rRNA from 2 species
GGAUGCGAUCAUACCAGCACUAAAGCACCGGAUCCCAUCAGAACUCUGAAGUUAAGCGUGCUUGGGCGAGAGUAGUACUAGGAUGGGAGACCUCGUGGGAAGACCUCGUGUUGCUUUCC